GCAAAGCAGUCCUAUUUUAAAUCUUCAUUUAUAUUGUGCAGAAGGUUUAGUUUUCAGAGAAAAUGAGGUCUGUGAAUUUUGCAUUGAUUUUUGUUCUCGCAUGUAUGGUAAUUGCUUCCAAUGGUCAAAAUCAAAAAUGUCCAAGAUAUUGUCCUCAAGUAAUUGAUCGCGUUUGUGCUUUUAAUGGAGCAUCUUAUCAAAAAGUCGACAACCACUGCAUAUUAUCGAUUUUAAAAUGUCAAAACAAUAAAGAUUGGACACGAGUAAAUAUGGAACUUUGUAAAAAUUAAGCUAUUUUAUCUUAUUUACAUAGGAAUAAUAA